AAACCAACCGGGAUUGCCUUAGUAACGGCGAGUGAAGCGGCAAAAGCUCAAAUUUGAAAUCUGGUACCUUCGGUGCCCGAGUUGUAAUUUGGAGAGGGCAACUUUGGGGCCGUUCCUUGUCUAUGUUCCUUGGAACAGGACGUCAUAGAGGGUGAGAAUCCCGUGUGGCGAGGAGUGCGGUUCUUUGUAAAGUGCCUUCGAAGAGUCGAGUUGUUUGGGAAUGCAGCUCUAAGUGGGUGGUAAAUUCCAUCUAAAGCUAAAUAUUGGCGAGAGACCGAUAGCGAACAAGUACAGUGAUGGAAAGAUGAAAAGAACUUUGAAAAGAGAGUGAAAAAGUACGUGAAAUUGUUGAAAGGGAAGGGCAUUUGAUCAGACAUGGUGUUUUGUGCCCUCUGCUCCUUGUGGGUAGGGGAAUCUCGCAUUUCACUGGGCCAGCAUCAGUUUUGGUGGCAGGAUAAAUCCAUAGGAAUGUAGCUUGCCUCGGUAAGUAUUAUAGCCUGUGGGAAUACUGCCAGCUGGGACUGAGGACUGCGACGUAAGUCAAGGAUGCUGGCAUAAUGGUUAUAUGCCGCCCGUCUUGAAACACGGACCAAGGAGUCUAACGUCUAUGCGAGUGUUUGGGUGUAAAACCCAUACGUGUAAUGAAAGUGAACGUAGGUUGGGGCCUCGCAAGAGGUGCACAAUCGACCGAUCCUGAUGU
rnacentral:rRNA from 1 species